UACGUAGGGUGCGAGCGUUGUCCGGAAUUACUGGGCGUAAAGAGCUCGUAGGUGGUUUGUCGCGUUGUUCGUGAAAACUCACAGCUUAACUGUGGGCGUGCGGGCGAUACGGGCAGACUGGAGUACUGCAGGGGAGACUGGAAUUCCUGGUGUAGCGGUGGAAUGCGCAGAUAUCAGGAGGAACACCCGUGGCGAAGGCGGCUCUCUGGAACGCAACUGACGCUGAGACGCGAAAGCGUGGGGAGCAAACAGG
rnacentral:rRNA from 1 species